ensembl:snRNA U4 U4 spliceosomal RNA
AGCUUUGAGCAGUGGCAGUAUCGUAGCCAAUGAGGUUUAUCCGAGGCGCGAUUAUUGCUAAUUGAAAACUUUUCCCAAUACCCCGCCGUGACGACUUGCAAGCAGAUUUUUUUCCUUGAUAGUA